rnacentral:rRNA from 1 species
ACGAACGCUGGCGGCGUGCUUAACACAUGCAAGUCGAACGGAAAGGCCCUGCUUGCAGGGUACUCGAGUGGCGAACGGGUGAGUAACACGUGGGUGAUCUGCCCUGCACUUCGGGAUAAGCCUGGGAAACUGGGUCUAAUACCGGAUAGGAGCCAUUUUUAGUGUGAUGGUUGGAAAGUUUUUUCGGUGUAGGAUGAGCUCGCGGCCUAUCAGCUUGUUGGUGGGGUAAUGGCCUACCAAGGCGGCGACGGGUAGCCGGCCUGAGAGGGUGGACGGCCACAUUGGGACUGAGAUACGGCCCAGACUCCUACGGGAGGCAGCAGUGGGGAAUAUUGCACAAUGGGCGCAAGCCUGAUGCAGCGACGCCGCGUGGGGGAGGACGGCCUUCGGGUUGUAAACGCCUUUCGCUAGGGACGAAGCUUUUUGUGACGGUACCUAGAUAAGAAGCACCGGCUAACUACGUG